AUGAGCGGGCCCUUGGUGUGUGGGGGGGGGCACCUGCAGCAGGGGGCAGACCUCACUUCCUGUGGUUACACUAUGGCUCUCUCUGCUCUGGUGGGGCUGCCAAGUCUGUCUCCCAGGAAACUGCUUAUUUGUUUAGGAAAAUAUCUUACGGGGUUUUUCGGUUCUGGCAGGAAAAUGCCAGGGCACAGUCUGGACCAGAAAUCAAGACAGAGUCGGAGUGGCCUGAGGCGAAGGCAAGGGCUGCCCCUGGGGAGCGAGGAGCUGCCUGGAGACAAAGCUGGCAGGAGACUUGAAGCUCCAAGUUCCAGCCUCGCCGCAUUAGUGACUUGCAUUUUGGACCCUGUGCUUCUCGGUGAGGAAGGAGAAUGUGGCCCUGUUAGGAGGCAUGGACCGACUGGACGACUGACCCAGCCCUUUCCUGAGCCCCAUCAUAACUCAUGUCUGGGCCCCAGCGGCCUCCAGAGGGGCUGCUCCUCACCUUCAUCUGUGCCCCAGCCUGGGGCAAAGCAACGUGCUUUGGCACUGCAGUCAGGCUUAAGGUCAAAGAGAAGGGCUCUUGAGAGCAGAUUCACUUUCAGGCCUCAUCCCGCUGACGGCCGAGGCCGCUGACCAGUGGGGCAAUGCCGAGUGAGCGGCUCCUAGCCUGGCAGGGCCACCUGGCCUCCAGGCUCACACUCCUCAGGGAGCAUCUUCGCAUGCUCCUCAGGGAACUGAACAAGAGCUGUGUGUUAUAACUUCAUGUCUGAGAAACGUCCUCCCUGGAGCCCACCACUGAGCCCAGAAGGUUCUGGAAACCCCAUUUGGGGCACAGCAAGGAACUGCUGCUCCAGCUGCUUUAGGAAACAGCUUUGUCUACAUAGCCGGGGUAUGGGGCCAGAGACUGUCCCAGUUUCUGGAGUGGCUGGUCGGGCACCCAGGCGUGGCAGGCCGAUACUGCCCAACCUGAUGGGCUACCAAAUGAAACAGAGUCUGGAGGGGCCCCCCACCUAGACCUCACUGGCAGUGAUGAGCAACAGCCGCCUCCAUGCAGGCCUCCCGGAGGCCCACCCCAAGGCCUCCGAGGACAAGGACCACAGCUUGCCGACUGUGGGAUCCAAGGUCCCGGCCCGGGUCAGUGCCUGAGCCCAGCGCUGCCUGACCACAUUGUCUGUUCCCUUCCCUGUCCCCUCCGCUGGCCCAGUGCCAAAGAGCAAAGUCAGAAACUGAGCUGCCAAGCUGGCAUGUUCAGAAGCUGGACCUCGUCAACGCACCCUGCACGACAGGCAGUGACCCCACCUUGCUGGCAGAGGAGGAGGAGGAGGAGAGGGAGAGGAAGAGGAGGGGAAGGAGGGGGAGGCGGAAGAAGGAGGGUGAAGGAGAGGGGGAGGGAGGGGAGGAGAGGGGGAGGAGGGGGAGGAGGAGGAAGGAAGAGGAGGAGGGGGAGGAGGGGUAAGAGGAGGGGGAGGAAGAGGAGAAGGGGAAGAGAGGCAGAGGAGGAGAAGGAGGAGGAAGCAUAGGGCGAGAGACAGAGCAGGAAGGCUCCUCUCCCAGCUCAGCCUCAACCAGAAGUUACUCCUCCAGCUAAGAGCAGAGCAAGAUGAGCUGCUCGGCUGCGCAGCAGCCCUGCGCCCACAGCCCUGUGAGCACAGAGCCCCACCCCACAGACAAGGACCAGCCGUGCGCCUGCACCCCAGAUGCCAGGGCUCAAAGCCCCAGAUAUUCAUCGGCCUCAGAAGGGAAAGGCCCCCUGGGCCUGGAGGGAGCUGGAUCUUGCCAGGCCCGGAGGCUCCCUGGAAGCCGCAGUUGCAGACCGCUUGGAGGGUGGGGUGGGACUCAACUCUUCCGCAACUGCGCGGAUGGAGACACGAGUGGGCGCAGGCCUGGACCUUCUGCAAAGCGCAAAGAGAACCUCCAUACAUGGAAGGGUUGCUGAGGGGUCGCGCAGACGGAGCCAGGAGCUGGCAAGGGUGGAAGAGGAGGCUGGAUGAGACCAGAGGCAAGACGACCCUGCGCGGGGCCUCCCGCCGGGGAGUUGGUGUCCGUCCCAAGCACUGUUCAGUGACUGCUGAGCUACUGAAAUUUUACCUGUGGUUUUGCAGCUAUGCUGACACGUGAGCGUGGACGUCCCUUCCCGCUGUUUGGCAGCCCGGGCCGCUGAGGGGGCCUCCUGUUCUCACGUGUGCCCGGAACACUCAGGAAAAGAACUGCGGCAGAAGCGAGCCCACCAAUGCCUGUGAACUGAUACCACGCAAACUGUGUUUUCUGACCAUAAUGCCCUUAGUCAGACUUGAAACAAGAUUUUAAAAAUCAUCUUAAUAAUUUAAGACAAUAAAAAUAAUCUUUAAAAAUCUCCA
rnacentral:lncRNA from 1 species